AUUGAACGCUGGCGGCAGGCCUAACACAUGCAAGUCGAACGGUAACAGGAAACAGCUUGCUGUUUCGCUGACGAGUGGCGGACGGGUGAGUAAUGUCUGGGAAACUGCCUGAUGGAGGGGGAUAACUACUGGAAACGGUAGCUAAUACCGCAUAACGUCGCAAGACCAAAAAGGGGGACCCUCGGGCCUCUUGCCAUCUGAUGUGCCCAGAUGGGUUUAGCUUGUUGGUGGGGUAACGACUCACCAAGGCGACGAUCCCUAGCUGGUCUGAGAGGAUGACCAGCAACACUGGAACUGAGAAACGGCCAAGACUCCUACGGGAGGCAGCAGUGGGGAAUAUUGCACAAUGGGCGCAAGCCGGAUGCAGCCAUGCCGCGUGGAUGAAGAAGGCCUUCGGGUUGUAAAGUACUUUCAGCGGGGAGGAAGGGAGUAAGGUUAAUACCUUUGCUCAUUGACGUUACCCGCAGAAGAAGCACCGGCUAACUCCGUG
rnacentral:rRNA from 1 species